GUGAUCAUCAAAUCUUUGAACGCAAAUUGCACUCUCCUCGGAGAGUAUGCCUGUUUGAGGGUCAGCCUAUAAAAAUCGACAUCGUUGCUGUUUCGCGGUGGCGUUCGUCGGAAAUUGGGUCAUCUUAAAUCCUUUUGAUUUAAGCGACUUAAAAUUUUCUUUUGGUUCCAUGAACGUUUCUAAGAUCUAUUUCUUACACGUUUAAGGUAUUCAUUUUUACUUAACGUUACCAUCAAUA
rnacentral:misc_RNA from 1 species